rnacentral:rRNA from 1 species
AGCACUACGAACGGGUGGAGCCUGCGGUUUAAUUGGAUUCAACGCCGGAAAUCUCACCGGGGCGACAGCAAUAUGAAGGUCAGGCUGAAGACCUUACCCGAUUAGCUGAGAGGUGGUGCAUGGCCGUCGUCAGUUCGUACUGUGAAGCAUCCUGUUAAGUCAGGCAACGAGCGAGACCCACGUCCACAGUUGCCAGCAUACCCUCCGGGGUGAUGGGUACACUGUGGAGACCGCCGCUGCUAAAGCGGAGGAAGGAGUGGGCAACGGUAGGUCAGUAUGCCCCGAAUCUCCCGGGCUACACGCGGGCUACAAUGGUUGGUACAAUGGGCAUCUACCCCGAAAGGGGAAGGAAAUCUCUUAAAGCCAAUCGUAGUUCGGAUUGAGGGCUGCAACUCGCCCUCAUGAAGCUGGAAUCCGUAGUAAUCGCGUUUCAACAGAACGCGGUGAAUACGUCCCUGCUCCUU